CCUACGGGUGGCAGCAGUGGGGAAUAUUGGGCAAUGGAGGCAACUCUGACCCAGCAACGCCGCGUGAAUGAUGAAGGUCUUCGGAUUGUAAAGUUCUUUUCUAAGGGAAGAAGAAAGUGACGGUACCUUAGGAAUAAGCCUCGGCUAACUACGUGCCAGCAGCCGCGGUAAUACGUAGGAGGCAAGCGUUAUUCGGAGUGACUGGGUGUAAAGAGUUGUGUAGGUGGCAUAAUAAGUAGCUAGUGAAAUCUGGUGGCUCAACCAUUCAGACUAUUAGCUAAACUGUUAAGCUCGAGACCGUUAGGGGUAACUGGAAUUUCUAGUGUAGGAGUGAAAUCCGUAGAUAUUAGAAGGAACACCAAUAGCGUAGGCAGGUUACUGGGACGGUUCUGACACUAAGGCACGAAAGCGUAGGGAGCAAACGGGAUUAGAUACCCGAGUAGUC
rnacentral:rRNA from 1 species